GUAUUCAGCGGGAUGCCCAGACUAAGGUGAUGACCCAGAGGCAGAAGUUCGGUUACAGUGCUAACCGGAGGCGUCUUAACCGGAAUUCUCGACGAAAGGCAGCGCUACGAAUCGAGUGGUGAGGCAGCCUGGGUUCCUGAGGCAAGGGGCCUGGCAGUGACGACCGGCGAGGUGACGGUUCCGCGAUUCCCCUCUCUUUGCUCGGAGCUCCCACAUCCGACAUCCCUGGGACCACGCCAAGUCAGCGCGGCACAAUCUGGUUGAGAUGGGAUUGGCUAUGGACCUCAUCGAGGCAGUGCCCCUCGGUCAGAGAAAGGGCAUCUGAGGAGGCUUUCAUGAAGGAAUCCAAGGAGGAAACCCCAGGCACAGAGUGGGAGAAAGUGGCCCAGCUGUGUGACUUCAACCCCAAGAGCAGCAAACAGUGCAAAGAUGUGUCCCGCCUGCGUUCUGUGCUCAUGUCCCUGAAGCAGACACCACUGUCCCGCUAGGGGCCGGCCACAAGCAGAGCCACAGAGCAUGGGCAGGGUCAGGGCAGAGGAGCAGCUGCUUGGAGCAGGGGGUGGAAUGCCUCCAGCAGCUGCUCCACACAGCCUACUACCUUUCUCCCCAUCUGCCGGGGGGCCGGGAAGGGAACACUCGCCCCUCAGCCUCAUUCCCUCUUGGCCCUAAGUCCCAGCCCCUCACACCACCUCUUAGUCCACAAAAUUGUGACUGUCCCUCCUGAUGUAUUUUUUUCUUGGCUUAAAGGGUGUGUUGUUAACUCUUUUUACACUUAUUUAUUAUCAUUGUCAUUUCUCUGGAAGCCA